AUCGCUUCCUUCUGCCUGUUACACACUUUUCAACGAAUCUGGUAUACCCUUUUACUCUACGAGUAACGGGUAUAUUUACGGCUUUUAUUGAGAGGUCAAGUGACGACACUUUAGACGAUAGCAAGCAAGAGAAAGGAAAGGGCGCAGGAAAACGCCCUGAAAAUCAUAAACCGGAGCAGGGCAAGGCCGCAAAUGCGGAUGCAGAUGAGAACGGGCAUUAAAAAAUAAAUAAGAGUAAUUAAAUUUCGUAGCAAACAUGACGAGAUAAUGGACCGGAGCCAUUAGCAGAACGCCGAGACAGGGCUGACGGUCAGUCAGGACACCGAAAGAUGACGAAAGCAAAGUCCUUUCAUCCCCAAGGACGGAGCCAACGGUGUGAUGGAGCAGCUGCCGCCUGGAGCACAACCCACCCCCUGUCCACGUCGUCAUAUAUCACGGAACCAAGUAGCAGAAGCUCCUCGUAAUGUCCUGUGCAUUUUUCAAGCAAACCUCGGUAGCCUUGUCGUCCGAAAGUUGAAAACAGUAUCGCAUCAUUUUUGAAGACCUUUUGCGGGAGCGGAGGGCUUCAGAAACGGAAC